GACGAACGCUGGCGGCGUGCUUAACACAUGCAAGUCGAACGGAAAGGCCCUGCUUUUGUGGGGGGCUCGAGUGGCGAACGGGUGAGUAACACGUGAGUAACCUGCCCUUGACUUUGGUAUAACUUCAGGAAACUGGGGCUAAUAUCGGAUAGGAGCUCCUGCUGCAUGGUGGGGGUUGGAAAGGUUCGGCGGUUGGGGAUGGACUCGCGGCUUGUCAGCUUGUUGGUGGGGUAGUGGCUUACCAAGGCUUUGACGGGUAGCCGGCCUGAGAGGGUGACCGGCCACAUUGGGACUGAGAUACGGCCCAGACUCGUACGGGAGGCAGCAGUGGGGAAUAUUGCACAAUGGGCGGAAGCCUGAUGCAGCAACGCCGCGUGCGGGAUGACGGCCUUCGGGUUGUAAACCGCUUUCGCCUGUGACGAAGCGUGAGUGACGGUAGUGGGUAAAGAAGCACCGGCUAACUACGUG
rnacentral:rRNA from 1 species